rfam:Schistosoma mansoni strain Puerto Rico chromosome W, complete genome
AUCCAGCUGACGAGUCCUGAGAUAGGACGAAACGCGCAUCUUGGAU